GCCCCUCGCUGUAAGAGAGCCGGCAGAAAACGUCCAUGUCUUGGAGUGUAAUUAAAUAGGCGUUUGCCGUGCUUUCCUCAGGCGAAUACCGCCGGUAUGGCAACAUUUCACACAGAACAGAGAAUGCUCUGUUUGGAAGGCAGAACUCACAGUACCUAAUUCUCUUGUCCGUAAGAAUUUUGAGAGAUGUGGAAUGUAGUCUGGGCAAGCGAAGGAGUUUAUCCUCAUAAAGCAAAACAAAAUGUCAAAGUUAUCUGCCAUUGAAAGCAAAUUUGGAGACUAUCAAAGACACCAUACUAGAGGGGAAAAUAUGCGACCUGCCAGGACCUGAAGGAAAAAAUUAGAGAAAGCAGAGGCCAUUAGUACUCAGAAAAUGGGAUAUUGUCGGUCAUGCUGAACAGCAGAGUGGAGCAAAUAAAAAUUAGAACAUGUUUCUGAACUGAGUUCACCAAUUAAGCAAAGCUAUAUGUAUCUUCUGCACAUAGAUGGAUCUUACAGCAGCUUUAGAGGCAGAAGUUGUGGGCAUGCUGAACUCAACAUUCACGUGACUGGCAAAUCUGGAAGGCACUUCCCCGUCAGAGCCAAGUUCAAGGUGGCAGAAGAAACAGUGUGGGUGACCAGACGCUAUGAAAGGAAAAGAAUUUAGACAUUGGGUUCUUUGAGGAAAGACACAGAAGAAGCGGCCAAAAGAGCCACGUCAAUAACAAAGGAGGCUGGAAGACUGCCUGCAGGCUCAGCACCACACCACACAGUCUUUCCGAGGGUCCAAGGCUGAGCAGAGGAUUUACCUCAACAGAAACCACACGGCCUGUGUCUCAGAUCCUUCUCAUGACAGUAGCCUUGUACCCUAGCAGUAAAACCCACUGCCUGACAAAUCCACUCAGGUCAGGGUGCUGAUGGGAACACAGCACAGAUACUAAGAAAUAGAGGCUGUAAAUUGGCAGAAAGGAAUAAAAGGGCUCAGCACUUAGCACCUAAUAAAGCAUCAAUGACAGCCAUGUGGAGCAAAAUAAUCGAUUCCCUUUGAAAGAUGAAUUUUUUUUAUAAUUAAAAAAAACUUUGAAUGUUUA